ACGCUCGACACCUACGUGAGGCAGCAGUGAGGAAUAUUGGUCAAUGGACGCAAGUCUGAACCAGCCAUGCCGCGUGCAGGAUGACGGCUCUAUGAGUUGUAAACUGCUUUUGUACGAGGGUAAACGCAGAUACGUGUAUCUGUCUGAAAGUAUCGUACGAAUAAGGAUCGGCUAACUCCGUGCCAACAGCCGCGGUAAUCUGAGCGGGCGUGGCGAAGGCG
rnacentral:rRNA from 1 species